rnacentral:sRNA from 1 species
ACCUACUCCAUACCAGGCGGGGGCAGAGUCACAUGCAGUGAGAGGCACCCAGGCCCUGCAUUGGAUCCUCACGGCAGCCAGCCCUGAGGGCACCGCUGCUGCCCCACUUUCCAGACCGGGAAGCCGAGGCCCACAGAAGUUCCUAGCUCACAGCGCAGGAGCCCGACGCGGGUGGGUACCACGGGGCUCUGUCUGUGACACAUCCAGGGUGGUCAGGCCCCUGGAACUUCCCACUGAGUUCUGACACGGGAGGGCCAGCGUGGGGACGGCAGGGAGUGGGCCGGGAGUGUGCAGAGUCCAGUGCACACUGUGGGCUGGGACCCGCUGCCUCGCAGGGGCAGGAGAGGGGUGGAAACACAACUGCUGGGGUACUGGCUAGGGAGGUGCAGGCCGCUUGAGGGCAGCUCAGAGGGAGGCUCACGACAGCGUCACCAUCCCUGGUGUCAGGGCCAGGUUGGGUGGACACCACGCUGUUCGUCCACCUCGUGGCUCAGUCUCUCUGGGAAAGCCUGCGUCAGUGAACGACACCCCAGAUCCUUUCCUGGGGGUUUUAUUCUCCACCUCCUGACUUUCCUGGGCAGAGUGAGAAGGCCUGGUUCUGCUUCUGCGCUUCCGUAGGCCGGGACCUUCCUUUCAGCGGAGCCCAGGCCGUGCUGCGGGAAACAGCCCACCGGGCAGGCCUGGGAGGGCCGCCUUAGCCGAGAGCAAAUGCAGGCAAGGGCUUUGCUUGUCUGGAAAAAAAAUUCCUGGAGUGGAAACCGCCCUUGUAGCAUCAGUGGAAAAGACUCAGGCGGAGACCUGGCAGUUGGGCUGGAAACUGACGAUGAGGAGAGUGAGAGAUAACUGCUCCCCAGUCCCCACUUCUGAGCUCGCAGCUUGCCCCGAGGGUGGGAGCUGGGGACUCAGGACCCGCCGGGAUCCGGCUUUCCGCCUGUGCUGUGGCAAUGAGUUUCCUGUGGCAAUAAAACAGAAGUUCAG